GCGUGGGCUGGGUGCACCGCGCACGUGUUGCUUGCAUCCACCACACCCUAUCAUUUGUAUCACACCAUGGUUUUUCUCUUCCACGUCUGUGGCCGUAUCGACAUGCAGACUUUAUAGCACCACGUCGGUGGAUGGGCACGCCGGAGGUUUCUUCAUUAUAUGUACCUCACAAAUAAAUUUAUGUUAGCUGAGGAAAUAGUGCUUGAUUCAAGUAAUCAGAAUGCUAUCCAUAUGACUCUCGGAGUAAAGCAAAUUCCAGCGGCAGCUAACUGAGGGACAAGUUCAAUGCCUGUUCAAAUUGAGACCACGUUUACAACCUUGGAAUUACAUGCUUACUGUCGAAAUCCUCCUGUCACUGAAGGAAAUUACGUCAUUUGGAAAAUACUUGCAUUGGAAUAUCACUUGGGAGGUAUUAACAGAACAGAUCAAAUGCAGGAGCAGUGAAAAUCUGUGACAAGAAACCUGGAGGGAGGAGUUGGUUUAACAAAGAGCAAGUUCUUUGGGACAAGGUGGAGCUUUAUCCGGAAACAUCUGCCCUUUCAUAGUCCUACAUGUAUAUUGAGG